rnacentral:ncRNA from 1 species
AAAUCUGGUAGACGAACCCCAUGAGGGGCGAGUCGGGGAUGAUCCAUUCCAUGUUCGUGUUGAACUAAAAUGGCUAGUAGUUUCGACUGCGAACAGCCCGCCAAAGCUGCAAAUCUGGUAGACGAACCCCAUGAGGGGCGAGUCGGGGAUGAUCCAUUCCAUGUUCGUGUUGAACUAAAAUGGCUAGUAGUUUCGACUGCGAACAGCCCGCCAAAGCUGCAAAUCUGGUAGACGAACCCCAUGAGGGGGGAGUCGGGGAUGAUCCAUUCCCUGUUCGUGCUGAACAGAAAUGGCUAGUAGUUUCGACUGCGAACAGCCCGCCAAAGCUGCAAAUCUGGUAGACAAACCCCAUGAGGGGCGAGUCGGGGAUGAUCCAUUCCAUGUUCGUGUUGAACUAAAAUGGCUAGUAGUCUCUGACUGCGAACAGCCCGCCAAAGCUGCAAUCUGGUAGACGAACCCUAGUUGGGGGGAGUCGAGGACGAUCCAUUCCGUGUUGUCGAGGACACAUAUGGCUAGUAGUUUCGACUGCGAACAGCCGACCGAAGCUGUGAUUCGGUACUACGGGAUGGGCUAGUGGCCCAAGGCUAGCCCAAUUAGUGGUUGGCCCCCUUGUGGGAGAUCGUAGUGGCUGUGGUUUGAUACCCAAAUGCGGGGAGAGUCAUUCGACUCAGCGUGGAGUUGCGUUACACAACCGGGUGCUGUACCCAUAGACCAGCAGAGGUUUUAGAUGGGCCUCGCUCCUUACCCAGGGGGAGUGUCAUGUCCGACAGCAUGGCAUUCAAUAGGCACUGACGAGAUGCUGCAAUAGCAGUAUCUCCGAAGGGCGUUGGUUGACGCAUUGUUUUGACCCGCUGUACUAUAUGUCACGGAUAUAUUUAUUAUAUCUUAUGGUAUUGGGUUUUGAUGCAAGCUUCUUGAUCAAAGUAUCACGAGUUUGUUAUAUAAUCGCAAACAAAUUCUUUAAUGAGAGAGUGCAUUUAUGUAUUUUUAAUUUGAAAUAUUUGGUAUAACUCCAAUUACUCAGGUAUGAUCCAAUUCAAGGACAUUGCCAGGUAGGGAGUUUGACUGGGGCGGUACAUCUCUCAAAUAAUAACGGAGGUGUCCCAAGGCCAGCUCAGUGCGGACAGAAACCACACAUAGAGCAAAAGGGCAAAUGCUGACUUGAUCUCGGUGUUCAGUACACACAGGGACAGCAAAAGCUCGGCCUAUCGAUCCUUUUGGUUUAAAGAGUUUUUAACAAGAGGUGUCAGAAAAGUUACCAUAGGGAUAACUGGCUUGUGGCGGCCAAGCGUUCAUAGCGACGUCGCUUUUUGAUCCUUCGAUGUCGGCUCUUCCUAUCAUUGUGAAGCAAAAUUCACCAAGCGUUGGAUUGUUCACCCAUGCAAGGGAACGUGAGCUGGGUUUAGACCGUCGUGAGACAGGUUAGUUUUACCCUACUAAUGACAAAACGUUGUUGCGACAGCAUUCCUGCGUAGUACGAGAGGAACCGCAGGUACGGACCAAUGGCACAAUACUUGUUCGAGCGAACAGUGGUAUGACGCUACGUCCGUUGGAUUAUGCCUGAACGCCUCUAAGGUCGUAUCCGUGCUGGACUGCAAUGAUAAAUAAGGGGCAAUUUGCAUUGUAUGGCUUCUAAACCAUUAAAAGUUUAUUUUAUAAACGACAAUGGAUGUGAUGCCAAUGUUAUUUGUAACAUAGUAAAUUGGGAGGAUCUUCGAUCACCUGAUGCCGCGCUAGUUACUUAUUAAAACAUUAUUUAAUACAAUGACAAAGCCUAGAAUCAAUUGUAAACGACUUUUGUACAGCAGUGUUGUAAGUGGUUGAGCAGCUGCCAUACUGCGAUCCACUGAAGCUUAUCCUU